UCCAGCCAGCCACCAUGGGCGCCAUGGAGCGCAGGAGCGACAUCCCACCAAGGGCUGAAUGCAGGCCCCCUCCUCCGGGGAUGUGGUUUUGACAGGAGAAGGCAAAAGAGGGCACUGCUUCCCCCAGAGGAAAGAACUGGCGAAUGUAGCUAUGUGGCCACGCUGGGUGGGCAUGAAGCACUGAAGGUGGCAGCUCCAGUGCAGGGGAGGGAGCUCGCAGCCUCUUCCUCUGUCCCCUCUCCCCAGCUGCGGCGGGGCCUGGUACAGACAGGGGCACAGCUCCUGUGCUGAGACCUAAGAGCAGCAUGUCUGCUGGGCCACCCGGCUGUCUGUCUGUGUGUGCGUAACUGCGUGUGCAUGGGCGUAUAAGAAGGGGAGGCCAAGGGGCCUUUGCGUGUGCUUGUUUGCAGGGGAGCCCGUCCGCCACCCCCACCUGCCUCUGCAGCCGCAGAAAACAGGACACUCUGUCUCUAAUCUGCACCUCUGGGGCCUCAAAACCACAGCCACGUCAGCAGGUGGUGGGUGGUGGGGCCACAGAGGCCGGGUGCGCAGGUGUAUGCCAACAUGCAUGUGCGGGGCCAGCACGGGGGGUGUGGCUCCCUGGCCCGGUGUCCGCCCCCCGCCCCAGGAAGGCGGAUGGGGUAGAGGGAGCCGGACCUCCCCCGCCAGGUGGGCACAGAGUCCAGCCCUCUGACCACAGGCCAGGGGAAGGAACAGCCAUUUCUCCCACAGGUUCUCUCUUCUCUCAGCAGCCGUGCCAACAACCACAACAAAUGUCUCUGGAGCAGCUCAAAUGGCCCCACACGGUUCCAGGCACCUGGGAAAUAUUGGAGAGUGCCAGAGAGAUCCCUGCCCUCCUGGGGCCAACGCUCUCAGAGGGACGACACAGUAGACAGAACACACUCUGUUGUAUCCUGCCGCCUGGAGAGUCUCCUGGCCACCCUCAGGGAGGAAGGAAGCCCGGGGUGCAACCACUUUCUGGCCCACCUGCCUCAGCCUGCUGGAGGCCACCAGACCCGCCUGCCAGACCCUUCUGAGAUCAGAAGCCUGAGGAGGAGAGAAGUUUUGACCAAUGGUUGUUGAAUACUGCCCUCAAAGAUGACCACCAACAGUUCCUCUCAUCGCUGUAUCAAAUGCUUCCUUCAAGACUUGGAGUCUGGGGGUGCC